UUCCAGCCCACCGGCUCACCUCCCCCCUACUCCUCCCCCGACCCCCUCCACCUUCCUCCUCCCAUGCCCCAGCCCCGAUCCACCAACCCACCACCGCGCCCCCAGGUCGGCCAACUACCACCGCCGGUGCUCCACUCAACCACCCCACCUUCGCCGGUGCGUCCCUCCCUGCCCGACACCGUCUUUCUGGACGGAGCGCCCCGCCCCGCGCCACGCCGGCCAGAUGGCCCCGACCUCCUCCUACCUUCUUCCCCACACGGGAUGUCGCAGGGGCGCCCCUUCCCGCUGCCUUCCCCGCUCUGAGCCGCCGGAUCUAGGCCUCCCCACCGCCGGCCCGCGCGACGCCCCACCGCCGGCCACCACCCUGCCCCACUGCCCCUUCCUCCCCAUCAAUCUCGGCGAAUCCGUCCCCGUGUCGUUGUGCACUGCCCGGCGAUGGAUUGAGCCCCACCUCUGCAGUUGGUGGCGCUUGUGGUGCUGCUCAUCGACGAGACCCCGGCCUCGACCCCAACCAGGAGCUGCUCCCCGGUGCACCGGCCUCCCACCACCGAGCUUCCUGUCUAGCUCACGGCGGCCCACGCAGGUGCAGUUCGCCCCUGCUUCCCGACGUGGAUAGGUCGCCCCGGUACAGCAGCGCGGUUCCCUCGCGCGUGCAGUUCGUCAGUGGUUUCUCCACAUUGAUGCCGAUCCAGGGCGGGUGCAGGUCACUUUGGCAUUCAUGGCGGUUCCCCCUCGACAUACAUUCGACUUGUGCAUAAAUUUUUUUGUGUCGAGAGGUUCAACUUUGUGCUAUCACCCGGAGGUCAUCAGCGUUGUGCUGUUCAUACUGCCCAAAAAUGAUUUUGUGCAUUUUGCUUUUUGAUUUGGGCAAAGUGUUAACUACAGUGUGAUGUGAACUUCAGUGUGCUAGGAGUUUGACGUUUGUGGCGUUGACUAUGCAGUACUCCUGUGCAUAGCUUGCAGUUUGCCCGGCGUAUGUGUGGCGUUCAGAAAAAUGCAUUGUUUAGACUUUUCCUGUGAAAAUUGCCAGGGACAAAAAAAAAUGAAAUUGUUACAAGAUUCA